ensembl:lncRNA CARMN cardiac mesoderm enhancer-associated non-coding RNA
GUGGCCAGGGAGCCGCAGGCAAGGGACUAAGGGGAGGGGGGCUCAGUGCCAGCUGCUUAAAAAUGCCCCUGUGGCAGCGAGGGGCACCAGAGGCUGGGUCUAAUUAGUUGAGAAGCAGUGACACCCCCAACCACUCCCCAAACAGGCUGGCUCCCGUCUCCAGGCCCCAAGGAGCCACACCUGGACCAGACCCCAGGAAAGACAUGUGGUGGAAACCCUACGGCCCUGGAGCCCAAGGAGAGCAACGGCUGUAACAAGUGCACAGGCAAGGGCGCUAGCUGGUGGGAGCCACCCCGCCAUGCUGAUGUCAGAGAAGCAAGAACUCUGGAGAAGCAGCCUCCUGGGACCAGAGGAGGGCCAGCAGCAGGCAGCCCGGAGACAGAACUGUGAGCCCACCCCACCUCCACCCUU